AUGGUGAAGCAGAUGCAUAAAAAAUAUGAGGAGGCCACUGCUCAAUUGCAAUCGCAAUUGGCUGAUGUGAAAUCCCGGCUGGCACAUCAAGAAUCUGAGACCCGGAAGGCCGAUUCAAAAUACAACUUUAGCCUGGAAGAAACGGAAAAACUGAAGACCAAUUUCAACACUGAAAGAGCCGCAUGGGCUGAGGAGAGAACUGCUCUGACACAGCGGGCUGAAAAAGCUGAACCUUCUCUUCAAGAGGUGACCACUGAGCUUACCGGCUUAAAGCACCAUAUAUCUCAGAUGAUCUCUGCUAUCUUUGGCCCUAGGAGCAGUAACCUUGGUCAAGAAAUUCUUGUGAAGCUCAAAUCCGUAUAUACACUUGUUGAACAACUAUACACUGGCACUCAUCGCACUCUGGCUACUAUCUCCCCAACCAAUCAAGCGCCUACUCUUCUCAGUUAUGUUUUGAAAAAACUCUCCGUUUUACCUGCCAGGAUUGAAGAAAUAAAGCGGUCGGCAGCAAGAGCCGGUGCCGUGACGGCUUUAAACCGGGCCAAAGCAUGGCAGGCAGAGCUAGACCCGUCCGAGCUAGCCACUGGGUGUCCAAGCUUUAAAGAAGAUGACACUCCUUUUGAUAAAAAAGACUUUGCUGCUGUGUGA
rnacentral:rRNA from 1 species